CUACCUUCCCCCUCCCCUCUCUGCCCUGAUCACGACCAGCUGGUUCCACUCACCUCAUCAACCUGCAUCAUUCGACGCCAGUUCGUUGUUCCUCUACGGAAAAAACCUCCACGGGUGCUCCUCUGGUCGCAGUCUGCUGUUCAUGCUCCUCGUCUGUUCCUGGGAUCCAGCUUCAUCCAAGCUCACUGGUUUCUGCCUCAAUACCCUCCAGCCUGCCGCGCCUACGCAUCAAGAUCCUUCUUACCUCAAGUCUGCUCAUUCACUGGCUGUGAAUUAAAUCCCUCAUACUUACCAGA